CCACAUGGAACCUAAACGCCAUUUUAUGUAACUUGAAAUAAUACGGUGCCUGAGCUUGCUGAUAAGAGCUGGCCCUCAAGCAAGACCACCAAACAGCUCCAUUUUACCUAGCCCAGGACAAACCUUGAUAGGCUAGUGAACCAGCUCCAAGCUGUGAACCCUGGUAACUCAAAGCUACCACCCAAUGUAAUGAUACACAAACUGGAACUUUGGAAAUGGUCAGCUAACCCCUGUGUUGAUACUCAUCCUCCGCAAGAGGACUUGAGACUCUGUGCCUGGCCCCGGCCUCUGUGACUGUUGACUGGGCUCAUACAGGUCAGCCUGUCAGCACUAGCUGCUGACCGGCACUCCCAAGGCCUUCAUCCUGGACUGUCCUAGCAGAAAGACUUCACAGCGAAUGUGGACUGGGCCUGCAAGCUUCUGAAGGUCUUCACUGGAGAAGAUUUCCCAGUAGCAGACUCCCCUUUAGCAGCAUUUCUGCCCAGACAACUGUUUCCCGCUUGGUCUUGUGGCUGAAGAGUGGGGCUGAGGGAGAGGCAUCAAAAUCAGCAGAUGUAAGAAGCCAAUGACAGAAAGGACUGGAGAUUCUGCCCCACAGAGGCUGAUGUGUGACAGCAUCCACCCAACAAGUGUUCCUUGUGCAAAGGUUCCAAUCUGCCUACCAACGGUGUCGCUGAGAGGGUAGCCUUCUUCCAGGGCUCCCUGGCCCACUUCCCAUCCUACAGGUGUCUGAUAUUUAAAUAAACUGUCUCUAUUUUCAUUGCCA